GGACCUGACUGCUAUCGGAUUGAUACUAAGCCAUGCGAGUCAUUGUAGCAAUACAAGGCAGACGGCUCAGUAACGCGUAGUCAACCUAACCUAUGGACGGGAAUAACCUCGGGAAACUGAGAAUAAUGCCCGAUAGAACACUAUACCUGGAAUGGUUUGUGUUCCAAAUGAUUUAUCGCCGUAGGAUGGGACUGCGGCCUAUCAGUUUGUUGGUGAGGUAAUGGCCCACCAAGACUAUUACAGGUACGGGCUCUGAGAGGAGUAGCCCGGAGAUGGGUACUGAGACACGGACCCAGGCCCUAUGGGGCGCAGCAGGCGAGAAAACUUUGCAAUGUGCGGAAGCACGACAAGGUUAAUCCGAGUGGUUUCUGCUAAAGGAACCUUUUGUCGGUCCUAGAAACACCGAUGAAUAAGGGGUGGGCAAGUUCUGGUGU
rnacentral:rRNA from 1 species